UUAUGGUAAUUAACCCAUUGAGUGGAAGCACUUUCCCCCUGACAAGUAAAAUUCAAUUUUACUUGUCAGGGGGAAAGUGCUUCCACUCAAUGGGUUAAUUACCAUAA